rnacentral:rRNA from 1 species
CCGCGGGAUUGCCAGCAGCCGCGGUAAUACAGAGGUCUCAAGCGUUGUUCGGAUUCAUUGGGCGUAAAGGGUGCGUAGGUGGCGGGGUUAGUCAGGUGUGAAAUCUCGGGGCUCAACCCCGAAACUGCACUUGAUACUGCCUUGCUAGAGUACUGGAGAGGAGAUUGGAAUUUACGGUGUAGCAGUGAAAUGCGUAGAUAUCGUAAGGAAGACCAGUGGCGAAGGCGAAUCUCUGGACAGUUACUGACACUGAGGCACGAAGGCCAGGGGAGCAAACGGGAUUAGAUACCCCGGUAGUCCUGGCAGUAAACGGUGCGCGUUUGGUGUGGGAGGAUUCGACCCCUUCUGUGCCGGAGCUAACGCGUUAAACGCGCCGCCUGGGGAGUACGGUCGCAAGAUUAAAACUCAAAGAAAUUGACGGGGGCCCGCACAAGCGGUGGAGUAUGUGGCUUAAUUCGAUGCAACGCGAAGAACCUUACCUAGCCUUGACAUGCAUCUCUAAGUCGGUGAAAGUCGGCGACUGUAGCAAUACAGAAUUUGCACAGGUGCUGCAUGGCUGUCGUCAGUUCGUGCCGUGA